rnacentral:rRNA from 1 species
AACGUAGGAGACAAACGUUAUCCGGAGUUACUGGGCGUAAAGGGCGUGUAGGUGGUUGUGUAAGUCUGGCGUGAAAUUUUUCGGCUUAACCGGGAAAGGUCGUCGGAUACUGCAGAACUAGAGGACGGUAGAGGCGUGUGGAAUUCCGGGUGUAGUGGUGAAAUGCGUAGAGAUCCGGAGGAACACCAGUGGCGAAGGCGGCGCCCUGGCUCGCAACUGACGCUCAGACACGACAGCAUGGGGAGCGAACGGG